UACGUAGGGGGCAAGCGUUGUCCGGAUUUAUUGGGCGUAAAGAGCGUGUAGGCGGCUUUACAGGUCCGUUGUGAAAACUCGAGGCUCAACCUCGAGACGCCGGUGGAAACCGUAAAGCUAGAGUCCGGAAGAGGAGAGUGGAAUUCCUGGUGUAGCGGUGAAAUGCGCAGAUAUCAGGAGGAACACCUGCGGUGUAGACGGCUUUCUGGACCAUUGCUGACGCUGAGACACGAAAGCGUGGGUAGCAAACAGG
rnacentral:rRNA from 1 species